rnacentral:rRNA from 1 species
GGACCCUACGGGGGGCAGCAGUGGGGAAUAUUGCACAAUGGGGGAAACCCUGAUGCAGCAACGCCGCGUGAGUGAGGAAGUAUUUCGGUAUGUAAAGCUCUAUCAGCAGGGAAUAGAAAAGAAGGUACCUGAAAAAGAAGCCCCGGCUAACUACGUGCCAGCAGCCGCGGUAAUACGUAGGGGGCAAGCGUUAUCCGGAUUUACUGGGUGUAAAGGGAGCGUAGACGGAAAGGCAAGUCAGAAGUGAAAACCCAAGGCUCAACCAUGGGACUGCUUUUGAAACUGUUGAACUAGAUUGCAGGAGG